GUCGAUAUGCCCGAGUGGUUAAGGAGACAGACUUGUAAUCUGUUGGACUUCGCUCGUGCAAGUUCGAACCUGCUGUCAACG
rnacentral:tRNA from 1 species